rnacentral:pre_miRNA from 1 species
GUGGUCCUUGAAGAUAGGUUAUCCGUGUUGCCUUCGCUGUAUUCGUGACGAAUCAUACACGGUUCACCUAUUUUUCAGUACCAA